rnacentral:lncRNA from 1 species
AUGCAAGCGAAGCAGCGACCAAUUUGGAUGGAAGAAAAUUUAUAUUGCUUCUUUUCAACUCUUUUUCAUACUGUUUAAUAAAUUAUAAACAAAAAACGUCUUUGUAAUGCUAUAAAGUCUGUUUUGACCGAAGUACAGCGAAACCGAAGCGAAUAUGGACGCGAAAUUUCGCAUUUGGAAGGUGUGGUGGCGUGCGCCGUGCGGAGUGAACAAUGGGCUUCCAAACACAUCCUGAGAGGAAGGUUCUUUUCAACUUUUAAGGUUAGUACGUUUUAUUAUAAAAUAACAUGUAUAUAACGCGUAUUCUGAUUGGUCGAAAGCCGUGUUUGGAUCAGGCCAUCCAAACACGGAAGACUACCGUG